rnacentral:lncRNA from 1 species
AUGCUCGACGACUCAGAUCAUAAAUCAUAUGAUUUUGAAGUAGGUAUUGACCCUGAAAGGAAUGUGCUUAAUACAAUUAAUGUCACAUGUGAAUAUUAUACAGAGGAGCAAUUCAGGGAUACGGUUGAAAUAGUUAAUACAUUUUCAUUAAUUCAUAUUAAUUGCAGAAGUCUUUAUAGAAGUUUUGCUUCGAUUAAAGAUUUUCUGUAUAGUUUGAGAGGCAGGUUUCAAAUAAUUGCUCUGUCUGAAACAUGGUUAGAUGAGAAGAGGGGUUGUCAUUUUUAUAUCGAAGGGUACGAUUUAUACUUUGUAAAUAGAAUUAAGAAAAAGGCAGGAGGGGUGGCACUUUUUGUUAAUUGUGAUUUGAAAUGUAAAAAAGUUGAAUGUAUGUCUGUGGUUAUAGACGAUUUAAUGGAGUCUGUGACAGUGGAAUUGGACAUAGAAAGAAGAAGGAAUAUAAUUGUAACGUGUAUAUAUAGGAAACCGGGGUCACAGAUUGAGUUAUUUACAGAGGCAGUAGAAGACUUAUUGCGUAAGGCUAAGGGAAAUAAGACUUUAUGUUUGUGUGGUGAUUACAAUAUUGAUCUUUGUAAAGAGGCAAAUGAUAAGGCUGCGUCAGAUUUUUUUGAAUUAUUACUUGGUAAAGGAUUUUAUCCUUUAAUUAUGAAGCCGAGUAGAAUAACGGAUAAAUCAGAAACAUUAAUUGAUCAUAUUUUCAUUAAUAGCUUGGACAGUAAUAUUAUGAGUGGCCUCAUCAUAAAUGAUAUAAGCAGUCAUCUACCAGUCUUUUUUACUUUUGAUUUAAAUAUGAAAAGAAAUGAAGAAGUUGGUUUCGUGAGUCAUAGAAGGUUAAGAAAUAACGAGGCAAUUAACAAGUUUAGACAAGAUCUCAUGGAAGUGGACUGGAAGGAAGUCUAUGUUAAUGAGGUCAACGUUGCAUAUGGAGCUUUUUUAAAUACUUACUUGGCCUUGUAUGAUAAACAUUGUCCAUUGGUAUCAUUUAAGUAUAAGAAAAAGAAUAAGAAUAUGAAACGUUGA